rnacentral:rRNA from 1 species
GUUGAACGCUGGCGGCGUGCCUAAUACAUGCAAGUCGAGCGAACAGACGAGGAGCUUGCUUCUCUGACGUUAGCGGCGGACGGGUGAGUAACACGUGGAUAACCGACCGAUAAGACUGGGAUAACUUCGGGAAACCGGAGCUAAUACCGGAUAAUAUAUUGAACCGCAUGGUUCAAUAGUGAAAGACGGUUUUGCUGUCACUUAUAGAUGGAUCCGCGCCGCAUUAGCUAGUUGGUAAGGUAACGGCUUACCAAGGCGACGAUGCGUAGCUGACCUGAGAGGGUGAUCGGCCACACUGGAACUGAGACACGGUCCAGACUCCUACGGGAGGCAGCAGUAGGGAAUCUUCCGCAAAGGGCGAAAGCCUGACGGAGCAACGCCGCGUGAGUGAUGAAGGUCUUCGGAUCGUAAAACUCUGUUAUUAGGGAAGAACAAAUGUGUAAGUAACUAUGCACGUCUUGACGGUACCUAAUCAGAAAGCCACGGCUAACUACGUG